rnacentral:rRNA from 1 species
AUUGAACGCUGGCGGCAGGCCUAACACAUGCAAGUCGAGCGAGCGGCGGACGGGGGAGUAAUGUAUGGGGACUGCCCGAUAGAGGGGGAUAAGUACUGGAAACGGUAGCUAAUACCGCAUACUAUCGGAUAACCCAUAUGGGAUUAGCUAGUAGGUGAGGUAAUGGCUCACUUAGGCGACGCUCCCUAGCUGGUCUGAGAGGAUGAUCCGCCCAACUGGGACUGAGAAAGGGCCCAGACUCCUCCGGAGGCAGCAGUGGGGAAUAUUGCACAAUGGGCGCAAGCCUGAUGCAGCAAUGCCGCGGGUAUGAAGAAGGCCCUAGGGUUGUAAAGUACUUUCAGUCGGGAGGCGUUACCGACAGAAGAAGCACCGGCUAACUCCGUGCCAGCAGCCGCGGUAAUAC